CCGGGAUUUACCGAUAGGAGACCGGAGAAUAGUAAUUACCCAUGAUUCUAUUUUUAGAUCUUGGAAAUACCUUGAGGAUUUCCAAAUUUGUGGUAUUUGAAGCCUUUUUAGGGUUAAACUCCAUCCAGAAGGGACAGUGAAGGGUGAAGAAGCCCUAUCACACAAUUUGUUGGGGUAAUGAUUCGUCCAAGUUGGAUUAAGACUCCAUGUUCCUGACCUAAUUAAUGCAGCAUAAAAGAUGAAUGAAAAUUAAGAAAAAUAUCAGCAACAAAAACCCCAACAACAAUAAAACAUGUCAGACAGUGGGCCAAAUAGCAGAGAAAGACAGUAUGAUAUUAUUCCAAAUAAUUUGUCAGACCUUGAACAAGACUCUGUACCUGUUCCAGAAUCUAGACCCGCCCAUGGAAACUUCACAACUUCUCUUCACCAUGCCAACAUCGGAGAUAGUUACUC